CUAUCAGCUUUCGACGGUAUGGUAUUGGCUUACCGUGGCAGUGACGGUUAACGGGGGAUUAGGGUUCGAUUCCGGAGAGGGAGCCUGAGAAACGGCUACCACAUCUAAGGAAGGCAGCAGGCGCGCAAAUUACCCAAUUCUAACAGCAUAAGAGAGGUAGUGACAAGAAAUAACAAUACAAGGUAAUUAAAUUGCUUUGUAAUUGGAAUGAUAGAAAUUUAAACACUUUUUAAAGUAUCAAUUGGAGGGCAAGUCUGGUGCCAGCAGCCGCGGUAAUUCCAGCUCCAAUAGCGUAUAUUAAAAUUGUUGCAGUUAAAAAGCUCGUAGUUGAAUUUCUGUUAAAAAUAACCGGUCUGCUUUUAUUAAAAGUGGUAUCUUGGUGUGUUUUUAGCAAUAAUGUCCUUUGAAAUGUUUUUUACUUUAUUGUAAUAAGUCAUUAUUUUGAGGAUUUUUACUUUGAGAAAAUUAGAGUGUUUCUAGCAGGCUUACGCUUUUGAAUACUGCAGCAUGGAAUAAUAAGAUAGGAUUUUAGUUCUACAUUAUUGGUUUUAAGAACUAAAUUAAUGAUUGAUAGGGAUAGUUGGGGGCAUUUGUAUUUAACUGUCAGAGGUGAAAUUCUUAGAUUU
rnacentral:rRNA from 1 species